rnacentral:rRNA from 1 species
UACGGAGGGUGCGAGCGUUGUCCGGAAUUACUGGGCGUAAAGCGCGUGUAGGCGGCAGGGCAAGUCGGAUGUGAAAUCCCGUGGCUCAACCACGGAAGUGCACCCGAAACUGCCCAGCUAGAGUCUCGGAGAGGAAGGUGGAAUGCUUGGUGUAGAGGUGAAAUUCGUAGAUAUCAAGCGGAACACCGGUGGCGAAGGCGGCCUUCUGGACGAUGACUGACGCUGAGACGCGAAAGCGUGGGGAGCAAACAGG